CUCCACCCUGUCAACUCCUCUCAGCAGAGCUAAUCAGUCAAUUGACUCCACCUGAGCACCUCCCUUCUUAAGGAGCUGCAGACCUUCAGCUGGCGUUGGAUCAUCUUUCACCUCUGCCUUGUUGUUGAGUCAGUGAGUUCCAACUGGAUCCUCUGCAGUUUACCCAUGAUUUCCAAGGGGAAAGGAGAGACUGAGACAGAUCCAAUCAAGUUCUGCUCUACAGUCAGUCCUCCAGUGUCCUCCUCCACAAUCAACACCCACCCUGAGAAAAGACUGCUACUCCACCUGUGGGCCCAAGACUCCACCUGUGGGCCCAAGACUAUUCCCUGAUGCUUCUAUCCUUCCUGAGCUAAACAUUUUUUUUCUGAAGCUUGUUGUUACAGGGGUUUCCAUAUCAAUAUUUGACAGUAUUUCCAUAAAUGUGUUGAUGAAAUGACAAAAGAACAGCCAAGUCUGGGAAGUUCUUUGGUCAACACCCAUUGCUCAGCCAUGCCAGCAGUUAACAAAGUGCUGCGGGUGAAUGUCAGGGACCAUGUAAAUGCUACAGCAACACCUGGAGAUGCACACCACUCUGCAGCUGCAAUUACAUGGAGUAAAAGAAGCACUUAGCAUGCACAAGAAAGCUAGAUUCUAUACUGGAUCACAUGUGGUGUGACCUUGUACAUAUGACAUGUCAACUGGCAACUUUGCCAAGACGUUGU